rnacentral:rRNA from 1 species
GACGAACGCUGGCGGCGUGCCUAAUACAUGCAAGUAGAACGCUGAAGGAGGAGCUUGCUUCUCUGGAUGAGUUGCGAACGGGUGAGUAACGCGUAGGUAACCUGCCUGGUAGCGGGGGAUAACUAUUGGAAACGAUAGCUAAUACCGCAUAAUAGUAGAUGUUGCAUGACAUUUGCUUAAAAGGUGCAAUUGCAUCACUACCAGAUGGACCUGCGUUGUAUUAGCUAGUUGGUGGGGUAACGGCUCACCAAGGCGACGAUACAUAGCCGACCUGAGAGGGUGAUCGGCCACACUGGGACUGAGACACGGCCCAGACUCCUACGGGAGGCAGCAGUAGGGAAUCUUCGGCAAUGGACAGAAGUCUGACCGAGCAACGCCGCGUGAGUGAAGAAGGUUUUCGGAUCGUAAAGCUCUGUUGUAAGAGAAGAACGAGUGUGAGAGUGGAAAGUUCACACUGUGACGGUAUCUUACCAGAAAGGGACGGCUAACUACGU